UGCUGUACUUUACUGUAAUGAGAGGACAGGACAGACGCUGUACUUUACUGUAAUGAGAGGACAGGACAGAUGCUGUAUGCUGUACUUUACUGUAAUGAGAGGACAGGACAGAUGCUGUACUUUACUGUAAUGAGAAGACAGGACAGAUGCUGUAUGGUACUUUACUGUAAUGAGAGGACAGGACAGAUGCUGUACUUUACUGUAAUGAGAGUGAAACCAGGGUUCAAUUAAAGUUGUGUUGUCGACAAGCACACUGAAAAUGUGCCUUUUAAAGGCAAUUUCCCUGACGUUCACAGAGAUCGCAAACACUACGGAUGUUGGCUCAAGCGUAAAUUACCUUUAAAAGUCAAAAUUCCCAAAUUCCCAUAGUAGUCCUGUAAAACAGUUAAAACACAGACAAGAGGAUUGAGUUAAUUUCAUAUUGCACUUUAUUCAGCUCUAGAGAGAUAUCUGCAGCUGGGAGCCCUGUCAGUCUCAGGACAACACUUGUAUUGCUUUCAGACUCCCGUUCUGCAGACAAUAGGCCCCUCAGACGUUGAGUUGUCAUUCAACGAUCUAAUAGUAGGGACUCCGUUCAAUCCGUAGCGAUGAAGAUCUGCUCUACAGCACAAUAUAAAUUUAAAGGCAACGUUACCGCGUUAGCAGAGACUGCAUUCACUGUAAACGUUUCAUAGGUCGGCUCAAUCGGAAAUUACGUUUUAAUCUCAAUCGCGCUAUAACACUGAACUUUGGCGAUACGGAUUGAAUCGAGCCCUAGGUCUGUGUGUCAACUCUCCUACAGUAGGUCUCUGUGUGUCAUCAACUCUCCUACAGUAGGUCUCUGUGUGUCAUCAACUCUCCUACAGUAGGUCUCUGUGUGUCAUCAACUCUCCUACAGUAGGUCUCUGUGUUUGUGUAAGAACAACACGUAGAGAAAAUGCAACCGUUCUCUCUCUUUAUGGACAGAGCUAUUGAAGAGGGGGAUGAACAGACACAGUAAGGUACAGGUGGAAUAAGAUUACAGUGAAAUAAACAUUUUGAUGUAAAAAAAAAAAA